rnacentral:rRNA from 1 species
GAGAUCUAGUACGGUCUCGUGGGCUCGGAGAUGUGUAUAAGAGACAGCCUGUAGAUGAAAUAGGUAAGACUUCCUGGGCGUGAUACCCGAGUACUACGUGACACGGGAAACCUCGUAGGAAUUUCGCCCGACCACGGGCAAAGGCUAAAUACUAACUGGUGACCGAUAGCGGACUAGUACCGUGAGGGAAAGCUGAAAAGAACCCCGGAAGGGGAGUGAAAUAGUACCUGAAACCGUAAGCUUACAAGCGGUCGGAGCUCCACUUUGUGGGGUGACGGCGUGCCUUUUGGAGAAUGAUCCGGCGAGUUACCCUAUCGAGCAAGCUUAAUCCGCCUAAGGCGGAGCAGGCGCAGGGAAACCGAGUCCUAACCGGGCGAUUUAGUUCGAUGGGGUAGACCCGAAGCCGAGUGAUCUACCCAUGGCCAGGAUGAACUCCGGGUAACACCGGAGGGAGGUCCGAACCUUUAUGAGUUGAAAAUCGUUGGGAUGAGCUGUGGGUAGGGUGAAAGGCUAAUCAAACUCGGUGAUAGCUGGUUCUCCCCGAAAUAGCUUUAGGGCUAGCCUUCUGAAUUGAUAACGGGGGUAGAGCACUGAUUGGGCAAGGGACCACACCAGGUUGCCAAGCCUAGUCAAACUCCGAAUACCGUUAUUUUUUAUCAGGGGAGUCAGACUACGGGGGAUAAGCUCCGUGGUCAAAAGGGAAACAGCCCAGACCGCCAGUUAAGGCCCCUAAAUACAGGCUAAGUGAGAAAGGAUGUGAAGUCACUUUGACAGCCGGGAUGUUGGCUUAGAGGCAGCCAUCAUUUAAAGAUUGCGUAACAGCUCACCGGCCGAUGUGAUUUCGCGCCUAAGAUGAUCGGGACUAAAGCCUGUUGCCGAAACUGCGGUCCGCCAUGAUUUAUGGCGGAGGUAGGGGAGCUUCCUGAAAGCAUCGAAGCUGCAUCGUAAGGUGUGGUGGAGCGUUCAGGAGUGAUUAUGCCGGAAUGAGUAGCGAAAAUUUCGAUGAGAAAUCGGAACACCGAAAAUCUUAGGUUUCCUGGGGAAGGUUAAUCCGCCCAGGGUUAGGCGAUCCCUAAGCCGAGGCCGAAAGGCGUAGGCGAUGGGAAGCCGGUUAAUAUUCCGGCCCCGCCUUAUAGACGUUAAGCCUGCAGUGACGCAGAAGGCUAAGCCAGCUUCGAGUUGACUUUCGGAGUCUAAGCCAGUACUCCCGGCGUAAGUCGGGACGAGAGGUUAAGGGGUUUCCGCGAAAGCGGGAUAAACUGGCUGAUGCCAGACUGACAAGAAAUAGCUGUCAGGAUAGUCUAUCAGGCGUUCGUACCGUAAACCGACACAGGUGGAUAGGUAGAGAAUACCAAGGUGCUCGAGAUAACCCUCGCUAAGGAACUCGGCAAAAUAGCCCCGUAACUUAGGGAGAAGGGGUGCUCCGGUCUCUGUAGUCUCUUGCAGAUGAAGGAUACCGGAGCCGCAGUGACCAGGCUCUGGCGACUGUUUAGUAAAAACAUAGGUCCCUGCUAAGUCGUUUUAAGACGACGUAUAGGGACUGACACCUGCCCGGUGCCGGAAGGUUAAGGGGAGAAGUCAUUUCCGAGCAAUCGGGAUGAAGCUUUGAACCGAAGCCCCGGUAAACGGCGGCCGUAACUAUAACGGUCCUAAGGUAGCGAAAUUCCUUGUCAGGUAAGUUCUGACCCGCACGAAUGGUGUAACGAUCAGAGCGCUGUCUCAGCGAGGGACUCGGCGAAAUUGUGGUAGCGGUGAAGACGCCGCUUACCCGUGGUGGGACGGAAAGACCCCGGGACCUUUACUGUAACUUGGUAUUGAAUUUCGGUUUACUAUGUGUAGCAUAGGUGGGAGGCUUUGAAGUGCCGGCGCUAGUCGGUAUGGAGCCGUCAGUGAAAUACCACCCUUAUUAAAUUGAGGUCCUAACCCUGACUCAAAUCAGGGGACAGUGCCAGGCGGGCAGUUUAACUGGGGCGGUUGCCUCCUAAAGAGUAGCGGAGGCGCCCAAAGGUUCCCUCAGUUCCGUCGGCAAUGGAACGAUGAGUGUAAAGGCAGAAGGGAGCUUGACUGCGAGGCCUACAAGCCGAGCAGAGCGGAAACGCGGGCUUAGUGAUCCGGUGGUAGCAUGUGGAAGUGCCAUCGCUCAACGGAUAAAAGGUACCCCGGGGAUAACAGGCUGAUCGGGCCCAAGAGUUCAUAUCGACGGCCCGGUUUGGCACCUCGAUGUCGGCUCAUCCCAUCCUGGGGCUGGAGAAGGUCCCAAGGGUCCGGCUGUUCGCCGGUUAAAGGGGUACGUGAGCUGGGUUUAGACCGUCGCGAGACAGGUCGGUCCCUAUCUACCACGGGCGCAGGAUGCUUGAGGGAAUCUGUUCCUAGUACGAGAGGACCGGAAUGGACGGACCCCUGGUGUACCGGUUGUCCUGUCAAGGGCAUAUGCCGGGUAGCUAUGUCCGGAGUGGAUAAGCGCUGAAGGCAUCUAAGCGCGAAGCCCAUCCCGAGAUUAGGCAUCCCAUCUCAACUUCGGUUGAGAAUAAGGCACCUCGGAGACUACGAGGUUGAUAGGUCUCAGGUGUAAGGCCAGCAAUGGUUUUAGCCGAGAGAUACUAAUCUGCCGAACGGCUUGACC